rnacentral:rRNA from 1 species
UAAUACUAGCGGUCCAAGUCGCAGCCAUUUUUAUUGGGUCUAAAACAUCCGUAGCUUGCUUAAUAAGUUCCUUGUGAAAUCCUGUCUCUUAAAGGCAGGGCGAGCAAGAAUUACUGUUAAGCUAGAGAUUGGGAGACGUAAGGAGUACAGUUGAAGUAGCGGUAAAAUGUGUUAAUCUCAACUGGACUAACAAUAGCGAAGGCACCUUACGAGAACAGUUCUGACAGUCAGGGAUGAAGGCUAGGGGCGCAAAACGGAUUAGAUACCCGUGUAGUCCUAGCAGUAAACACUGCACACUAAACAUUGGGAUCUCCUCGAGAGAUUUCAGUGCUGUAGGGAAGCCGAAGAGUGUGCUACCUGGGAAGUAUAGUCGCAAGGCCG